rnacentral:piRNA from 1 species
UCCUGAUGAUGACCUACCUGCCAUGGUACC